rnacentral:lncRNA from 1 species
AACAACUGGUUAGGAUGCUACUGUUGCUGCCUCCAUUAUAGGACACUCAUUUUCACUUGUUUCUAUUAUAGGAACACACUGCUGAACUCUUGACUUUUUUGUUGCCACCAUGAUUAACAUCUGGCUGUGCAUUGCUUCCUCAAGAUGCAUGGAGGAAUGUCAGUUUCCGUGCUCCUUAGUAUAUACACGAGGACAUGAGAUUUGUUUUGAUAAUAAAAGGUGAAGGCAUUGGAGAGGAUUGGGUUGGACCAUCCUGAGCACUUUGCGGCUUGAUAAAUGGCAUCCUUGGAUGUGCCCCUGCCUUUGACACCACUUGUCCCCACCCUGUGCACCAACAAAGGGGUUAGCUGGAAGGCUUACAAUCUCUGACCAAGGUUGUGGAUAGAUCAAUAUGAGGUAGGCAUAGGCUGACCCUAUGUGUCUCAGUGAUUUAACUGUUUUGUUGUGCAAUCUGCUGAACAAGCCUGGUAACAA